CAUCCUCCACAAGCUAACCCCAUGUUGAAUAAAAUAAAUAACAUCAUGUUAGGAACUAUACAAAAUUAUCAAAAAAGGAGACAAAUUUUGUAGUUUUACAUAAAUACCUUUGGUUAAUACCGUCCUCCUGAGGCUGUGGCAAUGCCAACGCCAGAUCUCAUUGCAAGUCAUUGAAUUAAGUGGCAAUUUCAGGCCAUCAGAAUGUUAUGUAAGUGAGAAUUCUCUCCUUAAUCCAAGCAUGCAAUUCUAUGAAUAUCAAUGGGAAAACUCCAUUCUGGAUAAGCCGUUACAUCUGUCUCUCUGUCUUUAUAUUACUUUUUCUUGUCUUUUCUCCAUCCGCCUCCCAUCUGCUACCAAUACGCGUUCCUCCUUUACCUGCGUACGUUUUGCUUAUUUAACAUGAAAAGUUAACUCCCCAAACUGUUCACUCAGGCACAUCUCACAAUGCAAACAAUCUGGGUUUUUUUUUAAAUUAUGCACGAGUGAUUAAAUUCUUCUCCUACUGCCCUCCCAAUCAGGCAUUGUCUCAUCGAAGAAGGAAGAUUUAUGUGCGGACAGCAGAUGCCUGAAUUAGAUACAUCAUCUCGUACUCAUGCAAUCAUGCAGAUUGCAUGUGUGUAACGGGAGUCAUUUGGUAUCGUGCCCUUGAGUCACGACACACACAGAUGCCAGCGGUAUUCAGGGUCAUCUUUUUAAUUUGUGAAAGUGAUGUGAAACAAAGACAAUGAAGAGAGUCUUUCCAAAAAAGCAAUGGGAACCCGGGAGUCCUUGGAGGCUUACGGGAGACUCCUGACUGUGUGACGUCCCGGAUGACGUCCUUGUGAUUUGUGGAAAUAAACUAUAUGUCCUUGGGUAAAGAACAUGGUCUGAAUCCACCGGCGGAUAACACAACACCCCCCGUUUCAUUAUGGUAUCUUUCAGCGCCGCAGAUGAAAACCUUUUAACACACACGUGGAUACGUGCUGUGCCAUCAUCCGUUCCUUUUCAAUAAUUGGGGGAAUCAAAAAUAACCAACAGGAAGCAAGUUAACAUGUUUUGCAUUUAACUGCUGUAUUGAAAGCUUUGUUGAUGUGGCACAGGAUGCUUACUUCUCAUGACUAAUUCGAGAAGAAUUAAAAACGACUCAUGGCUGCUGGUUCAUUAGGCGACGCAGAGCUGUCCUACUCGGCAGGCGCCGUUAAUCCAGAUUGAAACCUGAUGAAAACAACCUGCUGCGGCUCAGUUUACACACUCAGACCGGCGAUUCUCUCAACAGAAACACGCCUGUCAGUGUGAAGGAAUUCUCUCUCCGUCACCUGUUCGAGUGAGCAGCAAACACAGCAGACCAACACGUCUACCCAACAACGCGCCAGCCAGGGUUCCUUCUAUUGGCUUCCCUUUGAUGUGACACGAGGGAUCACGGGCAACUUUCAAGCUGUUGCCUACAGAUAACAGACGGUUUGAUCUUUUGCAGCUG
ensembl:lncRNA